GGAAGCUGUUAGCUGCAAGUAGAACCGUGAAAGUGUUGUCAUUCAACUUAGAGAGAUUUUCACAAGGCCUAUAUGUUUUCUAAUAUUUCACGAAAGAAGGUCACGUUCUUCAGAGAAACACAAGCCCAGCCACGGUGUUUGGGUACCCACUGUUUUUCUUACCCUUUUGCUGCCACAGUCCCAAGCCAUCAAGUCCGAUAAUAUAUUGAAAACUAGCUUCUCCAUUGCCAUUUUGCAGAGAAACAAAAUUUGAUUUUCAAGUUGCAGGUACUAAAACUAUGUUUGAUUUUUCAUUGCAGGUGUUUAUAUCGAACCAAUGGAUUCUUUAAUUUCAUGAUUAUUCUUCUUUAAACUUUUGAUUAUGGGGUGCAACUGAAUCAAAAUUGACAUAUCUACAAUGUUAUUGAUAUAUGCACACCAAGUGCUCGAUGAAAUGCAUGUGUGAAACUCUGAUUCGAGUACAAUUACACAUAUUAUAUAGAGAAGUCAAGAAGAAGGAUGAGAUUGAGAGAGUUAUUAAGGCUAAUCAUUGAGCUAUUGUCAAGGUGGUUGUUAACAACGAGCAAGGGGGUGAGUCUAACCACUUUACGAUAGAGGUCAACGAUGUUGAUACAAGUACACCUAGCCUAUGAUGCGCAAGAGAUGCAACAUGUGAACAACAUGGAUCAAGCUAUAAGUCAAGACUUAGAAGGAAUGUGAAGAAAAGCCCAUGCGAUAUAUUACAUUUGUCUUUGUUAAUGUGAAUCAACCA